rnacentral:lncRNA from 1 species
AAACGACGUUGUUUUGAAGGAGGGAAAACGACGUCGUUUUGGGAGGAAAAAAAACGACGUCGUUUUGAGUAAGCUGGUAGGAUAUAAAUGGGGGUCGGGGAGGAAAGAAAAAAAAGAAAAGAGAAAAGCAGGGAAGGAAGAGAGUAGGAAGGAGAAAAGAGGAGAGGGAAUAAGGUUCCAAAAGAGAGAGAGAGGGGAGUCGGAGCG